rnacentral:rRNA from 1 species
UACGUAGGGGGCAAGCGUUGUCCGGAUUUAUUGGGCGUAAAGAGCUCGUAGGCGGUUUGGUAAGUCUGGUGUGAAAUCUCCACGCUCAACGUGGAGGGGCCACCCGAUACUGCCAUGACUGGAGUCCGGUAGAGGAGUGUGGAAUUCCUGGUGUAGCGGUGAAAUGCGCAGAUAUCAGGAGGAACACCGAUGGCGAAGGCAGGUCUCUGGGCCACUACUGACGCUGAGAAGCGAAAGCGUGGGGAGCGAACAGG